rnacentral:rRNA from 1 species
CCUACGGGUGGCAGCAGUGGGGAAUAUUGGACAAUGGGCGAAAGCCUGAUCCAGCCAUGCCGCGUGUGUGAAGAAGGCCUUCGGGUUGUAAAGCACUUUCAGUGGGGAAGAAAGCCUUGGGGCUAAUACCCUCGAGGAAGGACAUCACCCACAGAAGAAGCACCGGCUAACUCCGUGCCAGCAGCCGCGGUAAUACGGAGGGUGCGAGCGUUAAUCGGAAUUACUGGGCGUAAGCGCGCGUAGGCGGUCUGAUAAGCCGGUUGUGAAAGCCCCGGGCUCAACCUGGGAACGGCAUCCGGAACUGUCAGGCUAGAGUGCAGGAGAGGAAGGUAGAAUUCCCGGUGUAGCGGUGAAAUGCGUAGAGAUCGGGAGGAAUACCAGUGGCGAAGGCGGCCUUCUGGACUGACACUGACGCUGAGGUGCGAAAGCGUGGGUAGCAAACAGGAUUAGAUACCCGGGUAGUC